ACAGAGGGUGCAAACGUUGUUCGGAAUCACUGGGCAUAAAGCGCACGUAGGCUGCACGUUAAGUGUGGAGUGAAAUCCCACGGCUCACCCGUGGAACUGCUCUGCAUACUGGCGAGCUCGAGGACGGUAGGGGAGAGCGGAACUCUUGGUGGAGCGGUGAAAUGCGUAGAUAUCAAGAGGAACACCGAUGGCGAAGGCAGCUCUCUGGUCCGUUUCUGACGCUGAGGUGCGAAAGCUAGGGUAGCGAACGGG
rnacentral:rRNA from 1 species